rnacentral:rRNA from 1 species
CAGCAGAUAGUUUGAUCAUGGCUCAGAUUGAACGCUGGCGGCAGGCCUAACACAUGCAAGUCGAACGGAGUUAUAUUGUAGCUUGCUAUGGUAUAACUUAGUGGCAGACGGGUGAGUAAUGUAUAGGAAUCUACCUAGUAGUACGGAAUAAUUGUUGGAAACGGCAACUAAUACCGUAUACGCCCUACGGGGGAAAAAUUUAUUGCUAUUAGAUGAGCCUAUAUUAGAUUAGCUAGUUGGUGGAGUAAUAGCCUACCAAGGCAAUGAUCUAUAGCUGAUCUGAGAGGAUGAUCAGCCACACUGGAACUGAGAUACGGUCCAGACUCCUACGGGAGGCAGCAGUGGGGAAUAUUGGACAAUGGGCGAAAGCCUGAUCCAGCCAUGCCGCAUGAGUGAAGAAGGCCUUUGGGUUGUAAAGCUCUUUUAGUGAGGAAGAUAAUGACGGUACUCACAGAAGAAGUCCUGGCUAACUCCGUGCCAGCAGCCGCGGUAAUACGGAGAGGGCUAGCGUUAUUCGGAAUUAUUGGGCGUAAAGGGCGCGUAGGCGGAUUAGUAAGUUAAAAGUGAAAUCCCAAGGCUCAACCUUGGAAUUGCUUUUAAAACUGCUAAUCUAGAGAUUGAAAGAGGAUAGAGGAAUUCCUAGUGUAGAGGUGAAAUUCGUAAAUAUUAGGAGGAACACCAGUGGCGAAGGCGUCUAUCUGGUUCAAAUCUGACGCUGAGGCGCAAAGGCGUGGGGAGCAAACAGGAUUAGAUACCCUGGUAGUCCACGCUGUAAACGAUGAAUGUUAAAUAUGGGAAGUUUUACUUUCUGUAUUACAGCUAACGCGUUAAACAUUCCGCCUGGGGACUACGGUCGCAAGAUUAAAACUCAAAGGAAUUGACGGGGACCCGCACAAGCGGUGGAGCAUGUGGUUUAAUUCGAUGCAACGCGAAAAGCCUUACCACUCCUUGACAUGGAAAUUAUACCUAUUCGAAGGGAUAGGGUCGGUUCGGCCGGGUUUCACACAGGUGUUGCAUGGCUGUCGUCAGCUCGUGUC